rnacentral:rRNA from 1 species
ANUGGCGGACGGGUGUGUAAUGUCUGGGAAACUGCCUGAUGGAGUGGGAUAACAACUGGAAACGGUAGCUAAUACCGCAUAACGUCGCAAGACCAAAGAGGGGGACCUUCGGGCCUCUUGCCAUCAGAUGUGCCCAGAUGGGAUUAGCUAGUAGGUGGGGUAAUGGCUCACCUAGGCGACGAUCCCUAGCUGGUCUGAGAGGAUGACCAGCCACACUGGAACUGAGACACGGUCCAGACUCCUACGGGAGGCAGCAGUGGGGAAUAUUGCACAAUGGGCGCAAGCCUGAUGCAGCCAUGCCGCGUGUAUGAAGAAGGCCUUCGGGUUGUAAAGUACUUUCAGCGGGGAGGAAGGUGUUGCGGUUAAUAACCGCAGCAAUUGACGUUACCCGCAGAAGAAGCACCGGCUAACUCCGUGCCAGCAGCCGCGGUAAUACGGAGGGUGCAAGCGUUAAUCGGAAUUACUGGGCGUAAAGCGCACGCAGGCGGUCUGUCAAGUCGGAUGUGAAAUCCCCGGGCUCAACCUGGGAACUGCAUUCGAAACUGGCAGGCUAGAGUCUUGUAGAGGGGGGUAGAAUUCCAGGUGUAGCGGUGAAAUGCGUAGAGAUCUGGAGGAAUACCGGUGGCGA